rnacentral:rRNA from 1 species
AUGAACGCUGGCGGCGUGCCUAAUACAUGCAAGUCGAGCGAACAGACGAGGAGCUUGCUCCUCUGACGUUAGCGGCGGACGGGUGAGUAACACGUGGUUAACCUACCUAUAAGUCUGGGAUAACUUCGGGAAACCGGAGCUAAUACCGGAUAAUAUAUUGAACCGCAUGGUUCAAUAGUGAAAGACGGUUUUGCUGUCACUUAUAGAUGGAUCCGCGCCGCAUUAGCUAGUUGGUAAGGUAACGGCUUACCAAGGCAACGAUGCGUAGCCGACCUGAGAGGGUGAUCGGCCACACUGGAACUGAGACACGGUCCAGACUCCUACGGGAGGCAGCAGUAGGGAAUCUUCCGCAAUGGGCGAAAGCCUGACGGAGCAACGCCGCGUGAGUGAUGAAGGUCUUCGGAUCGUAAAACUCUGUUAUUAGGGAAGAACAAAUGUGUAAGUAACUAUGCACGUCUUGACGGUACCUAAUCAGAAAGCCACGGCUAACUACGUG